rnacentral:rRNA from 1 species
UACGUAGGGGGCAAGCGUUGUCCGGAAUCAUUGGGCGUAAAGAGCGUGUAGGCGGCCCGAUAAGUCCGCCGUGAAAGUCCAGGGCUCAACCCUGGGAUGCCGGUGGAUACUGUCGGGCUCGAGUCCGGAAGAGGAGUGUGGAAUUCCUGGUGUAGCGGUGAAAUGCGCAGAUAUCAGGAGGAACACCAAUGGCGAAGGCAGCACUCUGGGACGUGACUGACGCUGAGACGCGAAAGCGUGGGGAGCAAACAGG